rnacentral:ncRNA from 1 species
AUCCAAGGAAGGCAGCAGGCGCGCAAAUUACCCAUUCCCGACGCGGGGAGGUAGUGACGAAAAAUAACAAUGCAGGACUCGUUCGAGGCCCUGUAAUUGGAAUGAGUACACUUUAAAAGCUUUAACGAGUAUCCAUUGGAGGGCAAGUCUGGUGCCAGCAGCCGCGGUAAUUCCAGCUCCAAAAGUAUAUAUUUAAGUUGUUGCGGUUAAAAAGCUCGUAGUUGGAUUUUGGGCGCAGGCGGCCGGUCCGUCGCAAGGCGUGUACUGGACGUCCUGGCCUUCCCUCCGGUUCUCCGCCGGUGCUCUUGACUGAGUGUCGGCGGCGGCCGGAACGUUUACUUUGAAAAAAUUAGAGUGUUCAAAGCAGGCUCUCGAGCCUGGAUAAUGGUGCAUGGAAUAAUGGAAUAGGACCUCGGUUCUAUUUUGUUGGUUUUCGGAGCGCGAGGUAAUGAUUAAGAGGGACAGACGGGGGCAUUCGUACUGUGCCGUUAGAGGUGAAAUUCUUGGAUCGGCGCAAGACGAACGACUGCGAAAGCAUUUGCCAAGAAUGUUUUCUUUAAUCAAGAGCGAAAGUCAGAGGUUCGAAGACGAUCAGAUACCGUCCUAAUUCUGACUAUAAACGAUGCCAACUAGCGAUCGGGGGGCGGUUACAUUGACGACCCCUCCGGCAGC